rnacentral:misc_RNA from 1 species
GUAGGUGAACCUGCGGAAGGAUCAUUACAACGUCCAAACGACAAACCAAUCGUGAACUUAGUACCCUUUGGACUAAAGGCAGACUGGAUGUAAACCCUUGUGAUGAAGGCGUCUCGGCGUCUUGGGUUGAUCCGAUCGCAGCAUUUCGGUGCUGACUUUGGCUUCCGAAGCGGUUUAUCUACAUCACUUCUAACAUUACUAAACCCUUUAACACUUUUGAACUGACUUCUUGUUAAUGCGGUGCUCCUCG